rfam:Gossypium raimondii Chr08_contig_711, whole genome shotgun sequence.
UAUGAAAAUUGAUGAAACAUUGAUAUAUUUGAUAAAAAGGGGAAUAAUGCAUUGAAUGGAUGUGUGAAUGUUUAUCACACUAUCCAUUAAUUCUAUCGGUAAUUUUGGAUAUUUUGAUUAUGGUUAUAAUGGCAUGUAUGAGUUAAAUUGGCCAACGUUAGCUCAUUAAUGUUUUGAUUUUGAUUUUAAAUAUGAAUGCUUGAUGAAAUGAAAUGUCUGUAAAUUAAUUUGUCAACUCCGGUAAUGCUCUAUAACCCUAUUCUGGAGAUGGAUACGGGUUAGGGGUGUUACAUUCGUAAUUCAUAAUCACAGGUGAAAUUCUUGGAUAUAUGAAAGACGAACAGCUACGAAAGCAUUUUCCAAUGAUGUUUUCGUUAAUCAAGAAUGAAAGUUGGGGGCUCGUAGGGAUCAAAUACCAUCCUAGUGUCAACCAUAAACGAUGUCAACCAAGGAUCGGCGCAUGUUGCUUUUAGGACUCCACCAGCACCUUAUGCGAAAUCUAAGUCUUUGGGCUCUGGGGGAGUAUGGUCGCAAGGCUGAAACUUAAAGGAAUUGAUGGAAGGGCACCACUAGGAGUGGAGCCUACAGCUUAAUUUGACUCAACACAAGGAAACUUAACAGGUCCAGACAUAGUAAGGAUUGACAAACUGAUAGCUCUUUCUUGAUUCUACGGGUGGUAGUGCAUGGCCAUUCUUAGUUGGUGCAGCGAUUUUUCUAGUUAAUUCUAUUAAUGAACGAGACCUCAGCCUGCUAACUAGCUACACUGAGGUUAUCCUCCAUAGCUAGCUUCUUAAAGGGACUAUGGCCUUUUAGGCUAAGGAAGUUUGAGGUAAUAACAGGUCUGUUAUGCCCUUAGAUGUUCUAGGCCACACGCGUGCUACACUGAUACAUUCAAUGAGUCUGUAGCUUUGGACACAGGCCCGGGUAAUCUUUGAAAUUUCAUCAUGAUAGGGAUAGAUCAUUACAAUUAUUGGUCUUCAAUGAGGAAUUCCUACUAAGUGCAAGUCAUCAGCUCACGAUGACUAUAGCCUUACCCUUUGUACACAUCUCCCGUCGCUCUUACCGAUUGAAUGGUCCGGUGAAGCAUUCGGAUCGCGGUGACGUAGGCGAUUCGCUGCCCAUGACGUCACAAGAAGUUCACUAAACCUUAUCAUUUAGUGGAAGGAUAAGUCAUAACAAGGUUUCCCAACAAGCCAAGC